UACGAAGGGUGCGAGCGUUACUCGGAAUUACUGGGCGUAAAGCGUGCGUAGGUGGUUCGUUAAGUCUGUCGUGAAAGCCCCGGGCUCAACCUGGGAAUGGCGAUGGAUACUGGCGGGCUAGAGUGCGGUAGAGGGUGGUGGAAUUCCCGGUGUAGCAGUGAAAUGCGUAGAGAUUGCCAGGAACACCAAUGGCGAAGGCAGCUUGCUGGGCUUCUUCUGACGCUGAGGUACGAAAGCGUGGGGAGCGAACAGG
rnacentral:rRNA from 1 species